rnacentral:rRNA from 1 species
CCUACGGGUGGCAGCAGUGAGGAAUAUUGGUCAAUGGGCGGAAGCCUGAACCAGCCAAGUCGCGUGAGGGAUUAAGGCCCUGCGGGUCGUAAACCUCUUUUGCCGGGGAGCAGUGGUCCGGACGCGUCCGGACCGGGAGAGUACCCGGAGAAAAAGCAUCGGCUAACUCCGUGCCAGCAGCCGCGGUAAUACGGAGGAUGCGAGCGUUAUCCGGAUUUAGUGGGUUUAAGGGGUGCGUAGGCGGGAAUUUAAGCCGGCGGUAAAAUGUCGGGGCUCAACCCCGGCCGGCCGUCGGAACUGGGUGCCUUGAGUGGGCGAGAAGUAUGCGGAAUGCGUGGUGUAGCGGUGAAAUGCAUAGAUAUCACGCAGAACCCCGAUUGCGAAGGCAGCAUACCGGCGCCCUACUGACGCUGAGGCACGAAAGUGCGGGUAUCGAACAGGAUUAGAUACCCCUGUAGUC